rnacentral:rRNA from 1 species
GACGAACGCUGGCGGCGUGCUUAACACAUGCAAGUCGAGCGGAAAGACCCUGCUUUUGUUGCGUGCUCGAGUGGCGAAGGGGUGAGUAAAACGUGUGUAACCUGCCCUUGACUUUGUGAUAACAUCAGGGAACUCGGGCUCAUACCGGAUAGGAGCUCCUGCUGCAUGGUGGUGAUUGGUAAGUGUCGGCGGUUGGGGAUGGACUCGCGGGUUAUCAGCUUGUUGGUGUGGUAGGGGCUUACCAGGGCUUUGACGGGUAGCCGGCCUGAGAGGGGGACCGGCGUCAUUGGGACUGCGAUACGGCGCAGUCGCCUAUGGGACGCAGCAGUGGGGAAUAUUGCGGAAUGGGCCGAAGCCUGAGGUAGCAACGUCCCGUGCGGGAUGACCUCCUUCUGGGGGUAAACCGCUUUCGCCUUAGAUGAAGCGUGAUUGACGGUAAUGGGUAAAGAAGCACCGGCUAACUACGUG